UGCGUAGGCGGUUUAUCAAGUCAGGAGUGAAAGGCUAAUGGCUCAACCAUAGUGAGCUCUUGAAACUGAUAAACUUGAGUACAGGAGAGGAAAGUGGAAUUCCUAGUGUAGCGGUGAAAUGCGUAGAUAUUAGGAGGAACACCAGUGGCGAAGGCGACUUUCUGGACUGUAACUGACGCUGAGGCACGAAAGCGUGGGGAGCGAACA
rnacentral:rRNA from 1 species